rnacentral:lncRNA from 1 species
UCUUUUCCCGGGAGAGAAGAGCUCCCUCACCCUUCUUUUUCACCUGGGCUUGAAAACACUUAUAAUGAACAUAUGCCCUUAAUCUGGAAAUUAUACAUAGAAGGUAAAAGAAAUGGAAAAUAAUUCCCAUUUAAAAAAACAAAACAAAACUGAGAGAGUGUGUGGGUGUGACUGGGUGUGUGUGUUUUGUGUAGGAAGUGCCUGGAGAGGAGACCAGCUCCGAGAAUUUGCAGCAGGCAUCCUCUAGCAGACUGAACAAAGCUUCCAAUAAUACGUGGUGACAUUUACACAAAUAUUUGUGGUUGUGCUUUCCAUUUCUUCUUAUAGGAAACAACUAAGAGUUUUAAAUGCCUUAGUGAUGGAAUCAGUGGACAGUAGUGGGAAAGAAUUUCCCUGAAACUUGACUAGCAAUCAAAAUAAGGAAGGAAGAUCUGAAAGAACGGAGAAUAUUUCAGCUAAUCAGGAUAUGGCACUUUCCGACAUCUGGAUGUCCAAACAAGUGUUUUGAAUUCAAUACGAUUAACAUGUGUCACUUUAAUGAAUAUUUUCCUUUGGAGUCGGUUGGGUGGUUACAUUUUUGGCGAUCGUCUCACGGUCUGUUGCUUACAUUACCUGACCCACAGUCCGCUUUCCUUGUGUUGGCUGUGGGAACGAAAAAAAAAAAAAGUGGAAAAUACCUCAGAACCUGGAGAACAGCACUGAGAAUACAGCUCGUCUUUUAACUGAACCAUUUCCAACGGAGGCUCUCCAAGGACGGUCUCUGGUCUGUGACAUCACGAGGAACAAAGAAAUGAAGAAGUCGUGCCCUCACAGACGUUGGGAGAAGCAGCGUUGCCGAUCUCCCUGCUGUAUCUGCACCACAACCCAUCCGCAGGCUCUGGGUGCAUGUGGCACAUAUCUCUGUGACAUGAAUGCUGCAGUCAUACUUGUGGAAGGUGUGAUUCUACCUCCCUACCAUUCAGCCUCCCGUCCAGGGCACAGAGAGUCCUCCAUGGAUGGGAAGGAAGGAGGCCAAGUCUAAGGAAUGUAAUGGACUAGAGUUCCAGGGGAU